rnacentral:lncRNA from 1 species
AUAUAUAUGGAGUGAAGCUACUAUGCUUCUGGAAGCACAGAGCCUUCCGUACUUUCAGGUCGUUUUCGAUAUAGCGAUUUUCAAAUCGUCGAUCGGCUCUGUUAAACUUGAUCUAGAGUAUUUGAAGUAUUUGGAAAAUAAAUUUUAUGAUUUUUCGAUAUCAUUUGCCUAGUAAUCGAAGGGCUCAAAAUCAAUCAAUUUUAAUGGCCGUGAUGAGCCGGUUGCAAGUUUAACGGUGUAGAAAUAUUCAAAUCACGUGAAAUUUUGAUAGAAAAUUCUUUAUACUAUAUAAAACAAGAUCAAUAUCUUUGAUCUAAAAUUUUAAUGUCAUAUUAUCACGUUUUGUAAGAUUUUUAUUUUCAGCCGUUGAAUUUGAGCCCCUUAGUUCACUAGGCAAAUGAUAUCGAAAAAGUACAAAAUUUAUUUUUUAGAUACUUCAAAUACUCUAGAUCAAGUUUAACGGAGCCGAUCGACGAUUCGAAAGUCGCGACAUGGAAAACGACCUGGAAGCACGGAAGACUCCGUGCUUCCAGAAACAUAGUAGCCUCACUCUAUAUAUAUGAAAUUAAUGUUUAUUGAAGAGGUCUUAAAUCAUGCAUCUUUGAAUGGUAAAAGAUUCCACGUAUAACUCAGUAGUAAGUGAGCUGAUAUUAAUUUUUUAAUUAAAAGAUGUAAAUUUUAAUUUAAAGCUUGUGUUUUGUUUAUAAGUUAAAAGAUAUAUUACUAAGGCUUAGUUUGGUAUUGAGGUCUAUCUAACGUUAUUAGAUAAAAUAGAGUUGAGGAAAAAGCAUAUAGGGAUAUACUUCUGCGUUCUCCGGUGGGACCGCAGAAAAUAUAUCGUAACCGACUCAUCGCGAACGUAAUAUUACGUACGGAAAUAAACAGGGUAUUUUUCAUCGUCGUUUCUCACCGCACGUAACACAAUCUCCCCGCAAUCCCAAACGAAGCGUUAUACUCUUUCUCUGAAUAGCUUUAUUUGAAAAGUACU